AUUGAACGCUGGCGGCAGGCCUAACACAUGCAAGUCGAACGAGUGGCGGAAGGGUGAGUAAUGUCUGGGAAACUGCCUGAUGGAGGGGGAUAACUACAGGAAACGGUAGCUAAUACCGCAUACCAUCAGAUGUGCCCAGAUGGGUUGAGCUGGUUGGUGGGGUAACGGCUCACCAAGGCGACGAUCCCUAGCUGGUCUGAGGGGAUGUCCGGCCACACUGGAAGGGAGACACGGUCCAGACUCCUACGGGAGGCAGCAGUGGGGAAUAUUGCACCAGGGGCGCAAGCCUGAUGCAGCCAUGCCGCGUGUGUGAAGAAGGCCUUCGGGUUGUAAAGUACUUUCAGCGGGGAGGCGUUACCCGCAGAAGAAGCACCGGCUAACUCCGUGCCAGCAGCCGCGGUAAUUC
rnacentral:rRNA from 1 species